UUCAUCCAUAUUGUAGCACAUACGAGAAGAUGACUUUUUAAAAAGUUUUUAAUUAAAACAUAACAUAAAAAGUGAAAAGUGCAUAACUUGCUCACAACCUGAACACAUCAGGACCCAGGGAGUCAAGAGAUGAUGACUGAUGACUCAGCCUCCUCAGCUCGGCUUCCCAGAGCUCCACUCACCACAUCAGUGAGCCUGGCAUGCAGGGGGAGACAUAAACACAACCAUGGUGUUGAUAUCAAUCCUAGCAGAGAUGUCACAAGCCAAGGUCUGGGAAGAGGAAGAAUGAAUCAGGAUAAAACUUCAGUGGAAAAAAGACCAAGUGAGAGACUUAAAAGUCACGACUAAAGAAUUGUGCUGCUUAUUGCUGUUGAGUUCCCCUCUGCUCCCACAGAAGACAAGGAGAAGGAAUGUCACAGGGGCUUGAGUAUCCCUCUAGGGAAGAGUGGCUGGAACACCUAAUGUGAAAGUUUGGGGAAUCUUUGGCUGCUGAGGUUUGGAGAUUGGGAGAUUGUGUUUUUGUGGUUUUUCUUGUGGAAAUAAGAGCUCAGAGGGAUGAUGAUAUAACAUUGGAGAAAGGAUGUUGGAACCUCACCCACCUGUGUUUGCCUUCCCAUGCAACUGGAGCAGUGGAAGUUAGAAAGUAGGGUAUGAAAAACGACUGGAAGCAGAGAUCCUCUCCCACAGAGGGGUAGAAUUGGAAGACGCACUCAGAAAGCCUUACGGCCAACCUCCUCAGUUUUCAUACAGGCAAACUAAAUAUUACAGAUGGGAAAAUGCUCACUCUGAUGGAAGCCAGCUGCUAUGCUGUGUGUUGCUCUAUGGAGAGACUCAGGUAGAAGGAAUUGAAGGAGGCUUUCGGCCAACAGUCAGCAAGGUACUGAGGCUUUCAGUCCAAGAGCCUAUAAGGAACUGAAUCCUACCAGCAACCAAGCAAGUGGCUUGAAAAUGGACCCUCUCUCAGCUGAGUCUUUGAAUAAGAUCACAGCUCUUAUUCAAUAUGACACCUUGAUUGUAGUCUUGUUAGAGAUCUUGAGCCAGUGGCACCCAGCUAAGCUGUACCUGUAUUCCUGACCCAUAAAACCCCACAGAUAAUAAAUGUUUGUCAUUUUAAACUGUGAA
rnacentral:lncRNA from 1 species